UACGGUAGGGUGCAAGCGUUGUCCGGAAUUAUUGGGCGUAAAGGAGCUCGUAGGCGGUCUGUCACGUCGGCUGUGAAAACCCGGGGCUCAACCCCGGGCCUGCAGUCGAUACGGGCAGACUAGAGUGCGGUAGGGGAGACUGGAAUUCCUGGUGUAGCGGUGAAAUGCGCAGAUAUCAGGAGGAACACCGGUGGCGAAGGCGGGUCUCUGGGCCGUAACUGACGCUGAGGAGCGAAAGCGUGGGGAGCGAACAGG
rnacentral:rRNA from 1 species